rnacentral:SRP_RNA from 1 species
GCCAGGUGUGGUGGCGUGCACCUGUAAUCCUAGCUAUUUGGGAGGCUGAGGCAGAAGAAUCACUUGAACCUGGGAGGCAGAGGUUGUAGUGAGCCAAGAUCCUGCCACUGCACUCCGGCCUGGGUGACAGAGUGAGACUCUGUCUCAA